GAUAACAAAUCCAAGCUUUUUAACAUAAAAUUUAGUCAAACCCACUUCACGUCCUGCAACUUUACGUCUCUUCCUUUUGGAUUGCAGGCCUUAUAAACAAAU